rnacentral:rRNA from 1 species
GCUUAUGUCUUCACCACCCUGAGCAUGCCCAAUCUUGUCAGGCCUGGUUAGUACUUGGAUAGGAGACUGCCCAGGAAUACCUGCGUGCUAAAAGUA